rnacentral:misc_RNA from 1 species
AACGCACGAGACCUGCGGACCUGCGGAAGGAUCAUUACCGAGUUUACAAAACUCCCAAACCCUUUGUGAACCUUACCUAUCGUUGCUUCGGCGGGAACGCCCCGGCGCCCUCGCGGCCCGGAACCAGGCGCCCGCCGGAGGCCCCAAACCCUCAUGUCUUUAGUGGUUUCCUCCUCUGAGUGACAUAAACAAAUAAAGUAAAAACUUUUAACAACGGAUCUCUAGAUCGGAAGAGCACAC